UCAGAUUAUUACAAUGUUUAUACAACGCGAUAAAUUUUUCUCGUGCAAAAAUGUAACCUAUGUUUCCAACAUUCGUGAUAAAUGUCUUCUAAACCACAGUUUUUCGAUUGCGCGUGCCAAAAUGUUGCGCGAAUAAUCUCGGCCGGUGCGGUGAAAUGAUAAAUUUGAUUCUCUUCUGCCUGAAAGAACUGAUUCUUCUUAUAGCGCAAUUCCUUGAGACGAUCAUAAAAUGCGUACUGCCGAUGCUAAUCACGCAAUUAACGGGACCAAGAUAUUUACGAUGGGCGCGAAAUGUUCUAUAGUCUCGCUAUCCUAUUUUGUGCAAAAACCUCUAUGUGCAUGGCAUGAAUGUGAAGGACAAAAAUGAAGAAACGUUAACUCGACGCUUUCAUUAUCAUUAUUGCGUACACUUAACGAUUCCCGUUUUUGCCCGCAUUCAUCCUGUGUGUGACAUGCGUGAAUAUAUAUUACACCACAUAAUGCAACCAUUAAGGAAAUUAUGGAUCCAAUUGUGACAAGUUAUCGCUGAUAAUAGUUAAUGUUUGCGUUUUAUUUUUACUUACUCGGCACGAUAUUUCUGCUGCUGGACUCAUAUGCCAAACAAGCAACAAAAUUGCCUCCCGAGAGAUGUACGUAUAAUAUUUGCCAUUACCAUCAAGUGUAUUUACCGGAGGAAGCGAUGGCAUUGCAGACACGCGGAAUGUGCGACAGAGAAAUGUGCUGUCUCUUGGAAGGCGUCGGAAGACAUCACCGGAAGAACGUGAUUCAUUUCAUAGUUGACAAAUAGUUCGGCAGUAGUAAUGGAAAACUAACGUUAGCAUCGCUAGUUAUCUCUUUACUUCGGUAUUUUACGUAACGAUCGCAAUAUGAAUAGGUACACCGUCAACGUCGAUCUUCGUAUGCUUUCAGACUAAAAGCUCCUAAAUAAAGUUUAACAUUUUUUGGCUGAUGUCAAAAAAAUUAGGACAUCAACGUUCAAGGGAUUAUUAUUAUUAAUCAAUAGAAACGACUUCUUGGCAUAAAGUAUUUAAAUAUUAUAGCAGAGAUUCCAAACACGUGCGACGAAAUUUAUAAAGUCUUCUAGUAUUAUAUAUAUGACUCGAUUAAAGUAAUAUGUAGCGGAUGGAGAAUGAUAUUCAUGGUUUAUCGAUAGUUUUAUGGAAGUUCUUGAAGUGUGUAAUGUUUGCGGACAUACAGUUGAAGAAGAGAUUCGUUCGAAUGCACUGAGCGAUGAAAAGACGGAAUGGAAAAAUCGGUCGUGCGUGUCGUACAGGGUUUCUCUGAGGGUGCGGAAUGCCAUUUAAACCGACGAGAGACUUCACUCAGGCUUUUUCAAAGGAUAAAAGCUGCUACAAGCGUAUUGUCCGACAAACAAAAUCACGACGAUCUGUCGCGACCAGCUACUUUGAUCGAUGCGCGGACGAUAAUUUUAUGCCAGCAGUUGAAACUCACUGAAAUCCCCGUGUCGACCUCAAUGAGAUCACUUCUCGACGCGACAGCAAUUGUUGAAACCAACGUAAUUUCAACCAGCUUAAAUCUCAAUGUCAUAAACACGCAAAAAUCUUUAUAUAAAAGCUGUCAUCGUAACAAUAUUAUAAUAUGCAAAA